CUUUAAAAUACUGACAAUUGAUUAAUUUUAAGCGGCUACAUUAUCCAUGAGAAACUGCAAAGAAUGAAGAUAUUUCUCAUACUUUCCUGCAACUUAUCCAAUAUAUGGUUAAUUAAAUACGCCUUCGCCCAUUUAGUGCUACUAAAUUGUAAAUUUUGACAUACUAAAAUGCAAUUUUCUGACCAUCACAAUUCUGUCAAAUCUUCCCUAAAGUCCAGGAAAUGGCAUUUCAGAGUCUCUAAAUUUAAAAUUCAGCUCCCCAAUGAAAAAGCACUUCCUACAGCACUGUAUUACCCCGAUAAAUUACCCUUUUUCUUUUUUGAACAACUUUUUACUACACUCUUAGCAGCGAAAAAUGGUAUGACCCCCACCUUCAGCCUCUUCGGCGCUCUGCAGCUUAAUGAG